rnacentral:lncRNA from 1 species
GUUGUUAGAGUAGGUAAAGUAAGACUGGACAGGUUGGGCCUUAAACAGUGAAGGGUGUUCGGUGUGGGGUAAAAAGUAGAGAGACACACAUACUCACUAAUAAUUACUUAAAAAUCCAACCAUAGAAGUUGAAUUAGAACACAUCUUUCUGACUCCAAUAUUGUAAAAGACAGGAUGGCGGUCAGGAUUGUAACAUGAUUUUAUUCUCAGUUUAUAUCAAAUUAAGUUACAUUUUCUCAGUUUACACAAUGCCUGGCAUUUGACAACUUUUUAACAUUGCAUGGUCACUAAAAUAUUUAAAAAAAAAUAUUAAAUCAUGUUAAACACAUAUUACAUUACAGGUUUGAUAAAUAUUAUACAUUAAAAAAAAAGACUUUCAAGCACAGCCCUUGUGGAAUACAAUGGGGAGGGGAGGAGAAGGAAGGAACGUUAAGAGGUGAGUGGAGGCAUGGGUUUGGAGAACAGGGGAAAGGAGAGGUGGGGAAAGAGGAGAGAGGAGGAAAGGAACAGGGAGUGGAGGCAGAGGGUAGGAGAACAGGGGAAAGGAGAGGUGGGGAAAGAGGAGAGAGGAGGAAAGGAACAGGGAGUGGAGGCAGAGGGUAGGAGAAUGGGAAAGGAGAGGUGGGGAAAGAGGAGAGCGGAGGAAAGGAACAGGGAGUGGAGGCAGAGGGUAGGAGAACAGGGGAAAGGAGAGGUGGGGAAAGAGGAGAGAGGAGGAAAGGAACAGGGAGUGGAGGCAGAGGGUAGGAGAACAAGGGAUAAGAGAGGUGGGGAAAGAGGAGAGAAGAGGAAAGGAACAGGGAGUGGAGGCAGAGGGUAUGAGAACGGGAAAGGAGAGGUGGGGAAAGAGGAGAGCGGAGGAAAGGAACAGGGAGUGGAGGCCGAGGGUAGAAGAACAGGGGAAAGGAGAGGUGGGGAAAGAGGAGAGAGGAGGAAAGGAACAGGGAGUGGAGGCAGAGGGUAUGAGAACGGGAAAGGAGAGGUGGGGAAAGAGGAGAGCGGAGGAAAGGAACAGGGAGUGGAGGCAGAGGGUAGGAGAACAGGGGAAAGGAGAGGUGGAGAAAGAGGAGAGAGGAGGAAAGGAACAGGGAGUGGAGGCAGAGGGUAGGAGAACAGGGGAAUGGAGGGGGAGGAAAGAGGAGAGAGGAGGAAAGAAACAGGGAGUGGAGGCAGAGGGUAGGAGAACAGGGGAAAGGAGAGGUGGGGAAAGAGGAGAGCGGAGGAAAGGAACAGGGAGUGGAGGCAGAGGGUAGGAGAACAGGGGAAUGGAGGGGGAGGAAAGAGGAGAGAGGAGGGAAGGAACAGGGAGUGGAGGCAGAGGGUAGGAGAACAGGGGAAAGGAGAGGUGGGGAAAGAGGAGAGCGGAGGAAAGGAACAGGGAGUGUAGGCAGAGGGUAGGAGAACAGGGGAAAUGAGAGGUGGGGAAAGAGGAGAGCGGAGGAAAGGAACAGGGAGUGGAGGCAGAGGGUAGGAGAACAAGGGAAAAGAGAGGUGGGGAAAGAGGAGAGAGGAGGAAAGGAACAGGGAGUGGAGGCAGAGGGUAGGAGAACAGGGGAAAGGAGGGGGAGGAAAGAGGAGAGAGGAGGAAAGGAACAGGGAGUGGAGGCAGAGGGUAGGAGAACAGGGGAAAGGAGAGGUGGGGAAAGAGGAGAGCGGAGGAAAGGAACAGGGAGUGGAGGCAGAGGGUAGGAGAACAGGGGAAAGGACGGGGGAGGGAAGAGGAGGAAAAAAACAGGGAGUGGAGGCAGAGGGUAGGAGAACAGGGGAAAGGAGGAGGGAGGAAAGAGGAGAGAGGAGGAAAGGAACAGGGAGUGGAGGCAGAGGGUAGGAGAACAAGGGAAAAGAGAGGUGGGGAAAGAGGAGAGAGGAGGAAAGGAACAGGGAGUGGAGGCAGAGGGUAGGAGAACAAGGGAAAGGAGGGGGAAGGAAAGAGGAGGAAAGGAACAGGGAGUGGAGGCAGAGGGUAGGAGAACAGGGGAAAGGAGGGGGAGGAAAGAGGAGGGGAGAAGAGCGGAUGAAAGGGGGGGAGGGUGGUCUGUAAAGAUUCCACUGCUGGAAUGGUCUGGAAGGUAUACAGGCAGACAGGAAGUGAGGGAGGAAGUGGAAAUGGCUCCCUGUCUCAUUGUGAACCUCAGUAGAAGGAUUACUUCCUAUAGUAAAGAGACUGGACUCAAGCUGUGUCUAACCUGAAGGCUAACUCAGGGCUAACUCCAUUUAUCCUGAAUGAAGUGUCUGAGCCAUGAAGACCAAUGAAAUCAGAUACCCUCCCUUUCGCAAAGAUUGUGUCAUUAUCCCCUUCACUUGAGGAAGACAAUUGGUUAAAUAUUAUAUUAAUAAAAUGUUGUAUUGUGUGUAAAUAUAUAUUUUUUUAACACCUAUGACGACACAUUUAGUAAUGAUAGUACUUGCUUUCCAAACUGUAUGUUUUUUGUGCAAUUGUAUUUUGAAAUGUGCGAAAGGCAACCAACUAUAGACAUAAUCCAUAGAUGGCAGUUCCCAUUCAAGUGAAGACGGGCAGCUGUUGCUAGUGUAUGUAGCCUCUGUCGAGUCCCCAACAACUGGAUGUUCUGGUUUUCAGGGGAAAUGGAAAGAGAGCCUGUGGCGCAACUUCCGCUUUCAGACAUUAGUAACAGCACGACACCCCAUCUUAACACCUCCUCCACAUUUACUGGAUUGGUUGAAAGGUGCAGAAAAGGACAGUUUAUUGUCUUCUUGUCGAGACCAGUAUGUAGGGGAUCUAGUUUCAGGUGUUUCUUUUACGCCUGCUGUGUUAGGUUACCAUGAGUGUAACAGUCAAAUUGCCAGGGUUAGAGGUUCCAAAACCCUACUAUAGAUUAUAUGUCUAUGGCCGCAACGCAACAAGCUGUUCUACAGAUAGAAGGUGCUCGUGGAUUGAUGAGCACACAAAAGCACAACAAAAGUAGCAUUAACGAUAAGUAAUAAAAUAAAGAUGGCACUUCUAAAAGCCUAUUUCACACCAUAGCCUGCUGAAUUUGCAAGAUAGUUUUUUAAUUUCAUUUCGAUUUCGGCACAAAUAAAAAUGUGGCACUGAUUCCCCCAUAGAUUGAUGUUUCAGCAUUGUCUCAAUGAAGUGUUUGGCACUCGACUAGUCAUGUGCGACAUGCACGCGCAGUAACCAGCCUGCAAGAGUUAGCGGCAGGCGGACGAGCAAUAUCCACCAUAGUAGUACGAGCCUGAUCUGGAAUGUGAAGCUAACUGAAGUAGGCUAGCUUUAUAAAAGCCUGAUUUGGAAUGUGAAGCUAACCGAAGCUGGCUAGCUUUAUAAAAGCCUGAUCUGGAAUGUGAAGCUAACUGAAGUAGGCUAGCUUUAUAAAAGCCUGAUCUGGAAUGUGAAGCUAACUGAAGCUGGCUAGCUUUAUAAAAGCCUGAUCUGGAAUGUGAAGCUAACUGAAGCUGGCUAGCUUUAUAAAAGCCUGAUCUGGAAUGUGAAGCUAACGGAAGCUGGCUAGCUUUAUAAAAGCCUGAUCUGGAAUGUGAAGGUAACUGAAGCUGGCUAGCGUCAUAAAAGCCUGAGUAGAUCCAGCUUGUUUCGUAGUAUACAACUCAGGAGGGGAUAUGAUAUAAGGGAAGAUAUGAAGGAAGAUCAGCGGUCGUGGAAGAAAGGAAAAAAGGUUUCACAACUUUUGGGACACAAACUCUCAGCCUCCCAGCUUCAUCUGUGACCUCUAACCUCUGGCCUGAACAGAGGCAGUCAGCGUCAACACACAGGAAACAUUUUUGAUUUACAAACAAACAAAUAUUAAAGGCUCUUUUCUGGGAAGUGAAAGAGGCAUGGCUCAUCAUGAUAUUUCUCAAUAUGCUUUACAUAUGCUUUAGUUGGGUUUCUACUGAGCUCUAAUGCUGGAAUAAGAGGAAAAGAGACGAGGGUCAAGGGGUGGGAAGAGAAAGUAGGCGCCACCAUUACAGACCAAUCAGUCUCUGGUAAAGCCGUUGAGUGACACUGCUCUGGCCUAUCAGAACUGCCCAAGUGUCCAUGAUAACAGACCACUGUAAUUCGUCAUUUGCAGAGUGCAGUUGCCCCUCCCUCUUCCCAAUAGUAAGGCUCGUCGGUCACUGGGGGAAAAGAGAAUACUGUUCUCCUGUCAUAUUUACAUGUAACUGAAUUAUUCUACCAUAGUCAUGUACAUUCCUAUUAUUUCCAUUGUUGUAGUAAGUAAGUUUUUCAGUUUCAACUGCCCACCCCCUUCUGUCUCUUCAUCUAGCUAGCCACCCUUCUUUCCUCUCUCUUUUUACACCUCCUCUCUCUCCCUCUGUCCCACUGCCCCCCCCAGUAGCCUACAGGACCUCUUGCUGGUGGUGUGCUGGGGGUUGAGGAAGGCUCGGACGGCCUCAGCGAACACCUCUUUGAUCCCAUCCUGGUUGAGGGCGGAACACUCCAGGUAGCGGGCGGCUUGGAUCUGACGGGCUAGUCCCGCCCCCUGGUGAUGAGUGACAGGAGAUUGGCUCUGCUCCUUCAGCUUGCGCUGGGUCUCCUCGUCGUUACGCAGGUCGCUCUUAGUGCCUACCAGGAGGACAGGCACACCGGGGCAGUGGUGGGUCACCUGUGGGUGCACACACAUACAUCUGUAAACACACAGACAUUUACACACAAGCAUGCACACACACACACACACAACAAGAUGUAAUAAACCCACAGACAAACACACACACUGACCUCUGGGUGCCACUUGUGCUUGACGUUCUCAUAG